CCUACGGGCCGCACCAGUGGGGAAUAUCGGACAAUGGGGGGAACCCUGAUCCAGCCAUGCCGCGUGUGUGAAGAAGGCCUUAUGGUUGUAAAGCGCUUUAAGCGAGGAGGAGGCUACUAGUAUUAAUACUACUGGAUAGUGGACGUUACUCGCAGAAUAAGCACCGGCUAACUCUGUGCCAGCAGCCGCGGUAAUACAGAGGGUGCGAGCGUUAAUCGGAUUUACUGGGCGUAAAGCGUGCGUAGGCGGCCAUUUAAGUCAAAUGUGAGAUCACCGAGCUUAACUUGGGAAUUGCAUUCGAUACUGGAUGGCUAGAGUAUGGGAGAGGAUGGUAGAAUUCCAGGUGUAGCGCUGAAAUGCGUAGAGAUCUGGAGGAAUACCGAUGGCGAAGGCAGCCAUCUGGCCUAAUACUGACGCUGAGGUACGAAAGCAUGGGGAGCAAACAGGAUUAGAUACCCGUGUAGUC
rnacentral:rRNA from 1 species